GACGAACGCUGGCGGCGUGCUUAACACAUGCAAGUCGAACGGAAAGGCCUCUUUCGGGGGGUACUCGAGUGGCGAACGGGUGAGUAACACGUGAGUAACCUGCCCUUGACUUUGGGAUAACUUCAGGAAACUGGGGCUAAUACCGGAUAGGAGCUCCUGCUGCAUGGUGGGGGUUGGAAAGUUUCGGCGGUUGGGGAUGGACUCGCGGCUUAUCCGCUUGUUGGUGGGGUAGUGGCUUACCAAGGCUUUGACGGGUAGCCGGCCUGCGAGGGUGACCGGCCACAUUGGGACUGAGAUACGGCCCAGACUCCUACGGGAGGCAGCAGUGGGGAAUAUUGCACAAUGGGUGGAAGCCUGAUGCAGCAACGCCGUGUGCGGGAUGACGGCCUUCGGGUUGUAAACCGCUUUCGCUCAUGACGAAGCUUUGUGUGACGGUAGUGGGUAAAGAAGCACCGGCUAACUACGUG
rnacentral:rRNA from 1 species